CGAGUUCGCCUACGCCCCCCAUGUGAGCCCAUCCGUCGAUCCUCUUCUUCCUUCGCGUGGAUCCAUCGCCGUAGACGCUGCUGCCCGCCUGACCCGAGCUCGUUCCGCCAUCGCGCCCUCUGGCCGCGUCGCCCACGUCCUCCUGCAGCCACCUGCGCCCCUCGCCGCUGCUGCUCUAUUGCCGCCGCUUGUUGAUGCUGCUUGCUGCCGCUGCUGCCCGUCUUCGCUGGCGCCAUGGCCGUUUCGUGCGCGCACGCCAGUGCCCGCGAGCCAGCUGCUGCUGCCCCUGCGCUGCCGUUGCUGCUUGCUACUCCUAGCCACUGGUGCUGCUCUUCGCUGCUGCGUUGCCGUUGCCGUUGCGUAGUGUGGUUACCUGCUGCCGCAUGCUGCUUGCAGUUGGUCAUGGCCUUGGCCAAGGCCAUGGCUGAGUGUGGCGUGUGCUUGUGUGCAUGUGUGAGCACAGCGCUGGCUAUGUCUCCCGCACGAACGGCCGGCCCUUGUUUACUAGUAGUAGUAGGUUUAGUUUAGUAGUAUUAAAUUAAUGCUAAUUAAGGUUGUUAGCAAAUGACAAAUGGGUCCCACCUAAUUAGAUUAGGUGAAAGCCCCUGUUAACCAAACUAACUAACCCUGUUAUUUGAUAGGACUAUGACAGUGGCCCCCACCUCUAAAUAAACAGCUUAAAAGAAAUCUUUAAACACUUGUGACAGUGACAGAAGGGUCCCACCUGACCCUUUGACUAGUCAAAGUAGACCCAGUCAAAUGCUGACUAGGUUGCUGACUCAGCACUCCCCUCCCCUGGCCCACGGUCAUGCACUCUGGCUAGAGUGACACUAGGUGACAGAAGAAUAUUCUGUUUUAUUUCAAAUUAAAAUUAAUUUCAAAAAAUGGUUUAAUCUUUGAAAAUUCAUAAAAAAUAAACCGUAACUCGGAUGAAAAUGUUUUCUACAUGAAAGUUGCUCAGAACGACGAGACGAGUACGGAUACACAACCCGUUCGUCCGCCACACAUCCCUAGCAUAGCGAGCACGCAACUUUUCCCUCCGAUUCAUCUGUCCGAAAAUGCGGAACACCGGGGAUAUUUUCCCGGAUGUUUCUCCCCUUCACCAGUAUCGCCUAGUACUGCGUUUGGUCACCCCUGGCACCACGUUUUGCCUUGUUAUAUUUUUUGUGAUGCAUUGUUUGCUCUGUAUUUACUGUUUCUCCCCCCCUCUUCUCUUUGAUAGACCACGUGACGAUGCUGAUUCCCCUGUGAUCGACUAUGUCGACGACGACACUUCUUCCUUUUCAGCAGAGCUUCCAGGCAAGCCCCCCUUUAAUCAUCCCGAUAUCGCCCAUUCCAUUUUCUCAUGCUUGCACUAGAUUUUGCUAUUGUAUUUGUUUGCUCCUAUUCUGAUGCAUAGCCUGCUUUUAUAACCUGCUUGUUGUUACCUACCUGCUUAUCCUAAACUGCUUAGUAUAGGUUGGUGAGUGAUCUAUCAGUGACCCCCCUUGUCCUUGUUGCCCCUGCUUCAUCAUUGAAGACCCGAUCAACGGGAUCGAAGACCAGGCCUCGGCACCGCACAUCACUUUCACCUUAGUUGCUCGACACUACUGGGUUACUAUCGAGUGCCGAGGGUGAGACCUCUUCAGCACUUCUAAUGUUAACCAUGUAGUGUAGUUAUUAGGUCAUGGUCAUCGAGGGUGAUUUCCUCCUUAACCACUUCCGAUACGACUCUGUCGUGCAACCCCUCAAGUGUGAACCUCGGGGGUGAUUCCUCUUACAUUCACCUUGAUGAUUACAUCGAGUGGAAUUCACCGGGUGUGAUUCCUUGGGUUUUUCCCUUGAUGUUUGGACACGCAAUUACUAUGGUUACUAUGAAUUUACACUGAACCAUGUUACUAAAGACGGGUCGGCCCUGAGGGGUACCCGUGCGAGCUUAAUUGCGAGUGAUGUGGAGACGGGUUGACCUGGAGGGUGCCCGCGAGAUAAUUACGAGGCGUGGUCGGGCAUUCCUAGCCCUUGCCGCAAGUCCUCGGGACGGGGCAACGGGGUCAUAUCUUUCGUGAGUCUCUGCUUGUUACCGCGUGUUCCCAAUCCACUACGAUUUGGAUAUUUGAUCCGAGGGGCCUCUGGCCUGAUAGCACUAACCAUCACGUGAGCAUAGUAUGGGCGUUCUGCGUCGUAUGCAUCAGCCGAGGCUUAAUAGACGUCAGCGACUGAGCGGCGCGCGCCGGGUUGGACUGGUAAGCUCCUGCCUUUUUAGGGAGGUAGCUAGGUCUGCUCACCGGCCUCCCUCGCAACGUGCAGGAGUUCCUGGGGAGAUGGCCCAUGACCCCUGGGGGCAUAGGUUUAGUCUGGCAUGCUGACCUCUCUAUUAAGCCUGGGUCGGGUUGCGACGUAUUGUUUGGCCGAGGCCGGGCAUGACCCAGGAAAGUGUGUCCGGCCGGAGUUAAUCGAGCGUGGUGGGUAAGUUGGUGCACCCAUGCAGGGAAGAAAACAUCUAUCGAUAGCCUGUCCUACGGUAACGGACACUUGGAGUUGUAUCCCGAUCGAUACAACUAGAACUGGAUACUUGAGAUGAGACAUGGAGAUGAGACUUGGAUAUGAGAUGAUAACUGGAUAGUAUGGCUCUGGGAUUGCUUUCUCGCGGGGAGUCAAGAAAGGAUCUCUGGCCGAGGUUGAUAACACUACCUACUUUCCAGUAUGUUGAUCUGUACUCUUCUAUAUGUUGUAAGAUGCUUGAAGAUGCUAGUCUUCGAUAGGCUAGGCUUUCCCCUUCUCUUCUGGCAUUCUGCAGUUUAGUCCACAGAUACAACCCAUUCCUUUGAUACAGAUGCAUACUUAGUUUAGAUCUGAUGUAAGUCUUGCGAGUACUUUGGAUGAGUACUCACGGUUGCUUUGCUACUUCUUUUCCCCCAUACCCGAUUAUUGCGACGAGAUAACCGAUCCCAGGAGCCAGACGACGCCACUGAUGACUACUACUACCCAGAGGAUGCCUACUACUACGUGAAGACCGCAGACGACUAGGAGUAGUUAGGAGGCUCCCAGGCAGGAGGCCUUGCCUUUUCGAUCAUUGUUAUUUUUUGUGUUAAUCUUCUUAAGGCAAACUUGUGUAACUUAUGUCUGUACUAAGAUAUUGUUGCUUCCGCUGACUCUUGUGUUUUCGAGCUUAUGUAUUCGAGCCCUCGAGGCCCCUGGCUU
rnacentral:lncRNA from 1 species